rnacentral:lncRNA from 10 species
GUCACAGGCCUUGGUCCCUUGGAGUUCACAGUCUAAUGGGGAAGACAGGAUAUAAGCAAGUAGUUUCAGCAUAGCUUUGGAAUUGCAUGCAGAGAAGUGAGUGAAGUGAGUGAGGGCCCAGCCAAGGCUGGAGUAAAGUGGCAUGAUCUCGGCUCACUGCAGCCUCCGCCCCCGCCAGGUUCAAGUGAUUCUCCUGCCUCAGCCUCCCGAGUAGCUGGGAUUACAGGCGCAGGCCACCAUGCCCAGGUCACCCGUACUUCAUUUACCAGUCCUUGCUAAGGAUUAUUCAUUAAAACACACAACAGCAACAAUAACCACAAAAGCAACAAUAAAAAUACCUUUGAACUCACUCAAUCUUGAACUAUUGAACAUGCUAAGUCCGUGUCAUUGGCCUACUUAAUCAGCCCUCGAUUGUAACUUGAAGAAGCUUAUUGAUAAGAAAAUAAACUUCUCAUAAA